rnacentral:rRNA from 1 species
UAUUAUAAUUGAUGUUAAAUUAUUACUUGAGUAGUAAUAGAUGUUCUUGAAACUCAAAGGAUUUGGCGGUAUUUUAGUCUUUUCAGGGGAAUUUGUUUUUUAAUUGAUAAUACACAAUUUGUUUUACUUAAUUAAGUUACCAGCUUGUAUACCGCCGUCAUAAGAUUAUUUUUAUUUUUGAAAGUUAAAUUUUCUUGUAUUUAUAUUAAAAUAUAUGUCAGGUCAAGGUUCAGUUUAUAAUUAAGGUAUGGAUGAAUUACAAUAAUUUUAAAUUAUUACGGAUAAUUGAUGUAUGUUAAAUUUGAAGGUGGACUUGAUUGUAAAUUUAUUUUUGAUUUUUUUGGUGAUUGGGGCUCUAAAAUGUGUACAUAUUGCCCGUCACUCUCGUAUUUAUAUAUGAG